UCAAUUUUAUAAAAUAAAUAUAUUUAUAAUUUUUGUUACAUACCAAAUUAAGAUAAAAGAACCUAAGUUCUGGGCCGAAAUUAUUAACAUGGAAUCUGUUACUGAAUUCGCGAAUCGAAGGCGAAUACGAAAACGGGAACACGAAUUGUUGUCGAAGCGAAGCAGAAAUCAACUCGAAAUCAGGCAGGCGAAUACACAACAAGCAAUUGUGCAAUAUAAAUGGUAACAGACAGUUGAAUCAUUGGCCAUAAAUCAAUUCAAUUUGACACUUUAAUUUCGCAUAUCUUUCGUCCUUCAGACGCCCACAUAUAAAAUGGCCUGAAUCCAGCUGCUAAAAUAUAAAUGUCAGAUAAAUGUUAACUCUUCGCAACUGAUUCUCUUGCCAUAAAAAUGUGUACAAAUAUGCCAAGAUUAAGUGAAAUUAAUGCUGGCUUAUUUUUUGUUGUGAUUUUCUCGUUCUGCUACCAAAUGACUUUCACUUCGGGUUUCAGUCUUUGCAUUAGACCUGUCGUUAAAUGCCUUUCAUUAUCAUCGUUAUAGAACUCUGGCGAUGCUCUGUAAAUGUGGCUCGCUUGUCGUAAUGGGUUCGAUAUGUAAUGGGAAUGGAAUCUGCUUUUUUAUUAUUUUCUCAGUCAUCAAAACCAGUUUUCACUGAUAUGCAUCAGGACUUUGCAUCUGCUCUUGAGUCGGCUGCUUCCUGGCUUGGCCAGGUGAUUUAUAACCUUGAAACCUUUUAAAGUUUGGCCUUGAUCGCCGGUUUUUAUAUUUUUUCCCCCCCCUUUUUUGGUAGUUGCUUCUUAUGGCUGCCUUUGCGAAGUGCAUCUUUAAAGGCGAAGCCUUUCAACUGGUUUGGCCACAUUCUGUACUCAAGUAUUUGGGCAUUGUGUAUAUACAUAAUAAUUCGGAAUACAGUGUAGCUAGUCUUCCUGAAUUUCGACGGACAAACCUUGAUUAAGCUUAACUGAUAAUUAUUGUUAAUUAUUCCCAACCCUCAUACAUAUGCAUAAUGGGUGCCCACAAGCAAUUAAUCUGUCGAAUUGUGAAUUGAUAUAAACAAAGCCAUAAAAAUGCGACAACUCAAUAUGAAGGUAAUACCCGAAAAUUCCGACAAACCGACAAGCCCCUCCAAAGUUGGGUGGUUUUUAUGCAAAUAUGCUGUGUGUAUAUUUUUAAUAGAGUCGAUAAUUUUAAGAUGCGACCCUAAGCAUGCCGAGCACGUCUUGAACGCCGUUCGCCGGGGCCAUAUUGAUGAGCCGAUGAUAAUGCCAGUUGAUGUGUGGCCGUUCGCUAAUCCUUUGGCCCAUUCUGCAUGGUAAAGCGUUUGUUUUGCUAUUACCCACACUCGCACACGCACACACUCACACGCACGCCGUUAGCGACUGUAAAUAGCUGUUGACCAUGAAACGAUGCACAUUAUGGCCGUCAUCAGCACUACCCCAGUGCUGCCUGUCGAGCCACGUCCUCUGCUCCCCCAAACGCUAAAUAUCCGCCAAGUUAAGUGUGCGUGUGUGUGUGUGUGUGUGUGUGCAUUUCAUGUUUGACUUUCACUUGCAGCUGUGAUGUGCUCUACUGCGGCUAGCGAUGUCAGCACAACAAUGACAACAAUAACAAGUCAGAGCAUUCUAUGGCAGCGUGCACGACGAGCAGAUACCCUGCAGUCUCUCGCACUCACUCAGCGCCCUCUCUCCCACUCUACCACUCUUUCUCCAAUCAUCGCUGAGUACUAGUGCUGGAAAACAAUAUAAUAUAUCGAUAUAAUUAAUGUGUAGAAAACUAUCGAUUUAUUUUGGAAUCCUUAAUGUUCUCGAUGUUUUGCCAGCUCCAACACUUUUUGAGCAAAAGAAAGCGUCAAGUAAAAUAAUUUUAUUUCUUUAUACAAGCUACAGGUUUUUAACCAAAAAAUAUCGGAAAAUAUCAAUACAAAAAGCAAGAGCUGACAACCUUUGAGGACUUUCUGCCAAUAUUUUGCAUUCUGGCGAUGUGCACCUAAUCAAAGAGAGCAAAAGCCAAAUAAUUUCAAAUCGCAAAAACUUAAACAAAUUUGAAACUAAGGCUGAUCUCACAUGAAUUGACUUGGAAAAUAAUAAAUUUGAUUCUUUUUAAAAUAACUGUCUUCUAAAUUUUUUUUCGUUUUGAAAAGAUCGAUAAUAUCAAAAAACAUUGAUCAGGUACAGAUAUCGAUCUUUUUCCAGCAUUUUUUUUCAAGCUAAUUUUAUGUGUACAGGGUAUAUUGCAGUUUCACUGCGGCUACUGUUUUUUGGCAUUGUUUAAGGCCAUAAUUUGCAUCGAUUGCAAUGCGCACAGUGGUUCUAGUUAAUCAGAUUAACCGAGUUUAGUCAGUAUUAAAUUAUUGAAAUCGCUGACUAACAAUAUUUAUACGUUUAUGGUUACUGAACAGAGCGGCUUUUCGAUAUGAUCCACUAGUGUCCAGAUGCACAUAAACUAUUGCCAUUUGAGCACAGUGCAAGCCAUGAGUCUAGGGCGUGGUUUUUAUCAGCUCCAGAGCCGGGCAUAAAAUGUAACAUUGGCUCGCAAAUAGUGUCCCUUGUCAGUGAAGGAUGUCGCUGGGAAUGUUUUGCGAAUGCUCCUGCCAGCUGCACGAACGAACCGAAACAAUAUAAACAAUAUAAUAUGUAUAAUAGAAUUGAAAGCUGUGAGGAAGGCGUCGAGAGUAAAGCACUUAAUUGAGAGGCAUUGAGAAUUCUUGUUGCCUUUAUGAAUAUGAAUUAAUUGCCACAAUUAAGUGCCAUAUUGCGCAGGGAAAUGCUGUUCAAUAUGCGUUAUGCAUAUGCCUGUAGUUGCGUUGCCUAAGCUGUUUAAUGUUUAGUUGAGUCAAGUUAAAUAUAUUUUCAUUUCCGGAGAAAUUUCAGGAAAUUCGCGACCAACACUAAUCGAACUUAAUCUAAAGUCUGCGAUGAUAUCAUAUUGUAUAUAUAUGUAUAUAUAUGUGUACAUAUAACCCAGCUUGGGAAUAUUUUCUUCAAGUCAAUCAUUUUCUGUGCUCUCCAGGUGUGCUCGCCGUGUCACAUAUAAGCUAAUGCAUGUCAGCUCUAUAAAUCAACCGAUUCCAUGGUUGACUGAUGCUACUGUUUGUUAGCCAUAAAUCCCGGUGAAACGUGUCGCACGUGGCAUUUUAAUCACACUCACAAGACUUAAUCAGCGUAUCCAAACAUGCCGUAUGUUAUGUGUUAUUUUAUGAUGUCCUACGUUCAAUUAUAUUAUAAAUUACAUUAUUUAUUUAUAUUUGUAUAUACUAUAUUUAUUAAUUUUCCAAUUGUACAGAAUGGUUGUGGACCCAGUGUUUGCUUGACAUUUUCUACACAAACAAAAGAAUUUGGCUUUAUUAAAUUGCGACGAAAUUUAUUUGUUAUCUAAGCAGCAGAAGAUAAUAUAUAUGUAUAUGCAUAUAUCUAUAUACACGAGCAUGUUUGGGCUAUGUGUCAAAAAUAUGCACUUGUCGGAAUUAAUUUUGAAAUUUACUCAGAAAUUGCAUUUGCGUUUUUCAUGCUCAUUCAAAUUGACAGAAGGUCAUAUCUAAAAGCAUUAUAAUUGUGAGCCUUUUAUUACUUUCCCGCUUUUUCCACGUUCUCGCUAUAAUUUCACUCUCGAUAAUUUUCCACUAUUCUGCAUUGUUGAUUUUCAACAUCCUUGAAUCUAAAUAUUCAAUGUCAACAGCUUGACAUUCAUUUGAAGCAUAUGUCAGUCAACAUUUGUGUGUACUAUAUCAAAAUAAUUACCUAUAAUUACCUAUCAUUGUUUAAUAGAACAUAUAAUAAACGCGUGAUCACCUCCCCUUGCCCAAACGCCAUCGACAAAUAUCGAUAAAUAUUUAUUAACUUUUAUUUGUUGUUGUCCUUGCGAGCAAUCUACAAUCGAGAACUAAACUACGAUUUGUUUUACAUCGAUUUAUACUUUCGAAAUUGGCUUAAACAAAUGAAAUUAACUAGAAAAGCGCAACACAUUUAGCAGGCGACAUGUUAACAAGGAUAUGACAAACAAAUGACAACCACACGGGGGACUGUCUCUCUCUCUCUCUCUCUCUCUCUCUCUCUCUCGCUCUCUCUCUCUAUAUAUGGGCCAUUGAACAGCUCAAUUAGAUUUGACACAAGGCGUGGUCGUAUUGAUGCAAUGAACUAUUGACAGCUGACCUCAGCUAUUGAUUGCUGAGGUCACAAUCGUGCGUUGCAAUUUAUACUCUUCGGAUUGAAUAAUACAGCACAAAUAUUCUAGAAAUAUUUCUUAGUGCUUUUAAUUUCUGGCCUUAUCUUAAUUAAUUAUAUAUUCAGCGCAUUCUUAUCAGUUCCACCUGAUAUUUACUCUGAAUCGUAUUUACCCAGAUAUUCAAAUAGGCCGACGAUAAGAGUCGACGCGAAAACAAUAACAAAAAUCUAGAAUAUGCAUAGUAGGCAAAUAACUUGAUCGAAAAUUUUCCAAAUUCAUAGUAAAAUAUCAUAAAAAUUUCCAGCCAGCUCAGCUGGCCUAAUGUCAACAAAUAAGUCAACAAAUAACUUCUGCGUAGCUACAAAUAUUGUUCGAUAUGAUACCCUGUAGCCCAAAAUGAGGUCGUAUAAGUUUGCAUAUUUGUGGAAAAUAUGUUUAAGAGCAGCUAGGAAGCAUUUUAUAGUCGAUUUUACUACUCGCUUCUCUCUUUUCCAGCUCGAGGUACCUUAAGAAAUGCGGCCAGAUGGAGAAGUUUAAUAGACAUUCCUCGGAUAGUAAAAGUAUGUGGCCAAAAACUGAUUCUACAAACAA